UGCAGAGGGUGCAAGCGUUGUCCGGAAUCAUUGGGCGUAAAGCGCGCGUAGGUGGCUUCGUAAGUCCGUUGUGAAAGUCAAAGGCUCAACCUUUGAAAGCCGAUGGAUACUGUGAAGCUAGAGUACGGAAGAGGCGAGUGGAAUUCCUGGUGUAGCGGUGGAAUGCGCAGAUAUCAGGAGGAACACCAAUAGCGAAGGCAGCUCGCUGGGACGUUACUGACACUGAGGCGCGAAAGCGUGGGGAGCGAACAGG
rnacentral:rRNA from 1 species